UCUAGUUUUCCUGUCAAAACUGGCUGGUAGUCCUUGAACCACUCGCAUACAUUCAAUGGUACCUGUAAAUUGCACAACAUCAAAGGUGCACAACAACAAAG